rnacentral:sRNA from 1 species
GCUGGGCAAGGAGGCGCAUGCCUGUAAUUCCAGCGGCUUAGGGGGCUGAGACAGGAGGACUGUGAGUUCAAAUUCAGCCUCAGCAAAAAGCAAGGCACUAAACAACUCAGUGAAACCCUGUUUCUA